rnacentral:rRNA from 1 species
CCUACGGGAGGCAGCAGUGAGGAAUAUUGGUCAAUGGACGAGAGUCUGAACCAGCCAAGUAGCGUGAAGGAUGACUGCCCUAUGGGUUGUAAACUUCUUUUAUAUGGGAAUAAAACGUUCCACGUGUGGGAUUUUGUAUGUACCAUAUGAAUAAGGAUCGGCUAACUCCGUGCCAGCAGCCGCGGUAAUACGGAGGAUCCGAGCGUUAUCCGGAUUUAUUGGGUUUAAAGGGCGCGUAGGUGGAUUGUUAAGUCAGGUGUGAAAGUUUGCGGCUCAACCGUAAAAUUGCAGUUGAAACUGGCAGUCUUGAGUACAGUAGAGGUGGGCGGAAUUCGUGGUGUAGCGGUGAAAUGCUUAGAUAUCACGAAGAACUCCGAUUGCGAAGGCAGUUCACUGGACUGCAACUGACACUGAGGCUCGAAAGUGUGGGUAUCAAACAGGAUUAGAUACCCGAGUAGUC